rnacentral:pre_miRNA from 1 species
UAUUGGGUUGGCCAAAAAGUUCAUUUGGGCUUUUCCAUAGAAGUUGAUGGGAAAACGCAAAUGAACUUUUUGGCCAACCCAAU